CAAAAGACAGCCGAGAGCUGGGUGCUGGGAAGAACUCGGGUACAGGGCUGGGUCCAGGGUCCGCAGAGGAGGAGCUGAGGAGGCCCUGCCAUGUCACAGUCUUGGGAAUCACAAAGACAAUGGCAAGCGGGCUCAGGACAGAAACCCCAUCCUGUCUGUCAGUCGGGAUUCUCUGGGGCAACACAGAAGAGGAAAGGCGUUCACUUGGCUUACAACUCCGGACUACAGUCCAUUACUAUGAAGGAAGUCAAGACCAGAACCUAAAGCAUCGUGGACCCAUAACCAAUCUCUUCUAACUUUAGGUUUUAUCUACAAAAUGAAUUGGUACUAUGUACACAUACACAUCUCUAUGUGUGCACAGAGAUGCACAGAGAUGCUGAGAAGUUAUAAGAACACUGGAGAUGGGGGAGUAGCUCAGUGGGACUUGCCUAGUGUACGUGGAGCUUUGGGUUCCAUCCCCAGUGCUGCAAACAAGAAUAAAUUAAAGAUAAUGGAUGGACAGCAAACACUGAAAAGAUCUCAAUA